rnacentral:lncRNA from 1 species
CGGCAUAUUGUUUUCUUUAUCCUUGUCUUUGUAGGUAAGAACAAGGACAAAGGAAAGGACAUGGAGAAAGCAUGAUAUGAGAUACUCUUGCUUUCUACCCUGGUGAUAUGAGAUACUUUUGCUUUGGUGUCAUUUGCUUGCAGAGGUACCCCAAGGAAUAAGGAACACUGAGUGACUCGAGAGGCUUCGUUGGGAAAGCAUUCUCGGAGAUGAAGAAAGGUUCUGUACGUCUGCCUUGCUAUGGAGGGUGAAGGGUGGCCAG